GGCUGGUUUGGGUGCAGUAGUGUUACAACUGGUGAUCACAACCAGUUCCAGAUUUCUUUGUUCCUUCUUCACUCCAACUGCUUCACUUAACUAACCUUAA
ensembl:misc_RNA Y_RNA Y RNA